GACGAACGCUGGCGGCGUGCUUAACACAUGCAAGUCGAACGGAAAGGCCCUGCUUUUGUGGGGUGCUCGAGUGGCGAACGGGUGAGUAACACGUGAGUAACCUGCCCUUGACUUUGGGAUAACUUCAGGAAACUGGGGCUAAUACCGGAUAGGAGCUCCUGCUGCAUGGUGGGGGUUGGAAAGUUUCGGCGGUUGGGGAUGGACUCGCGGCUUAUCAGCUUGGUGGUGGGGUAGUGGCUUACCAAGGCUUUGACGGGUAGCCGGCCUGAGAGGGGGACCGGCCACAUUGGGCCUGAGAUACGGCCCAGACUCCUACGGGAGGCAGCAGUGGGGAAUAUUGCACAAUGGGCGGAAGCCUGAUGCAGCAACGCCGCGUGCGGGAUGACGGCCUUCGGGUUGUAAACCGCUUUCGCCUGUGACGAAGCGUGAGUGACGGUAAUGGGUAAAGAAGCACCGGCUAACUACGUG
rnacentral:rRNA from 1 species